UACGGAAGGCAGCAGUGGGGAAUAUUGCACAAUGGGCGCAAGCCUGAUGCAGCCAUGCCGCGUGUAUGAAGAAGGCCUUCGGGUUGUAAAGUACUUUCAGCGGGGAGGAAGGCGAUGCGGUUAAUAACCGCGUCGAUUGACGUUACCCGCAGAAGAAGCACCGGCUAACUCCGUGCCAGCAGCCGCGGUAAUACGGAGGGUGCAAGCGUUAAUCGGAAUUACUGGGCGUAAAGCGCACGCAGGCGGUCUGUUUAAGUCAGAUGUGAAAUCCCCGGGCUUAACCUGGGAACUGCAUUUUGAAACUGGCAGGCUUGAGUCUUGUAGAGGGGGUAGAAUUCCAGGUGUAGCGGUGAAAUGCGUAGAGAUCUGGAGGAAUCCGGUGGCGAAGGCGGCCCCUGGGACAAAGACUGACGCUCAGGUGCGAAAGCGUGGGGAGCGAAACAGGGAUUAGGAUACC
rnacentral:rRNA from 1 species